rnacentral:sRNA from 1 species
UCAAAUUUGUAAUAAUUUUUUAAAAUUCACCUACAUGAUUAGAUUGAAGAUACAGAGACAUGGUUAAUAAAGUCAUGUUAUAUUUUUAGUUUAAGAAAUAUAUUUUCUAAAAUUUCACCGUCUCACAAUCUAAACAUAUAACAAAAAAAUAGGGAUAUAUAAAUUUUAAAAAAAAACUGAGAAUCUAGGAUAACAAUAAAAAACAACUCAAGCACAUUCGUUUUUCAGAUGAACUAAUAUAGUUGGACUUUUCAAAAACAAUUACAAAUCAUAUUUAUGUUUUAAAACCGAUGCAUUCAACUUUAUUUUAUAUGAACAGACAUUAUAUAAAAUAAUUUGUAAAUAGUAAUACAUAAACCCGCACGUAGUGCGGGUACUCAUCUAGUAUAUUUUAAAAGUACGUAU